rnacentral:misc_RNA from 1 species
AAAAGGCCAAAAAACAGAAGACUCUCUCUUUCUCCAUUUCCUCGCACGCGAGGGGAGACUUAUUUUCCACACACUAGUGGAACCAAAACCAUCGUCAUUUGCUGUCAACAUUCUUUGGCUGUUGCUUCAAAUUAUUCCUUUUCUUUUACUUUUCAAUUUUCUUUGCAUAUGAAGUUCUCACUUUACCUCCAGCAACUUUAAUUUGUGCCUCUCUGGGUAUUUGUAUAGCCUUAGUUCGAAGCUUAUUUGCUUGUUUAAAAGCCGCUUUUAGCUAGCUAUAUAUCUACCUCUCUGCACUUACCUGUAUCUGAAGCCAAAUCUUGUUGAGAAAAGAAAGGGAAAAGAAGUAGGUAAACUUCUCAAGGUUAUCUUUGUUUUUGAGAAGCAGCUGCUUAAUUUUUUUUUUCAGCUAUAGUGCUUUAAAUGUUCGAGAUUAACCGGCCGGCUGUUUGGUUUCUUUUUGUAAUAAACUGGGUUUCUGACACUUGAGCAACUGGGUAAGAUUAUACUGAUUAUUCUCUUACUAUUUUUUUUUGUCGAAAUUCUCUUACUACUUCAACGUGCAUCUUUUCUUUGCAUAGUGACAUAACAAGGCUUGACUUUUAUGAUAUAUAUAUGUAUGUAUAAAAUAGCAUCAUUUGUUGUCCGUGACUCCUUAUACGUUAUGUCAUUAGUACUUGUGGCUAUUCUAUGUCCAGGACUAAGUCUUGGGCUUGGCUCUUACUCUGAAUUUUCGUGCAUAAUUAACAUUCUCAAAUCAACUUGGCAUCUUCAGAAACAGACGGUAGCUCAAGUAAGUUACUUCUUGAUUUUUCUGGAAGUCUUUAUUUUGUGGAAGAGUUACGUGAUAAAAACACUGGAAUUGGGUUGCUGUGUGGAUGAUGGUAUGGUAUAGGAAUUAGUUAUUGUUUUGUGGAAGAGUUACAUGAUAAAAACACUGGAAUUAAUUUUUGUGAAAUGAGAAACAAAUUGGGUUGCUGUGUGGAUGAUGGUAUGGUAUAGGAAUUAGUUAUUGUUUUGUGGAAGAGUUACAUGAUAAAAACACUGGAAUUAAUUUUUGUGAAAUGAGAAACA